rnacentral:sRNA from 1 species
AUGGGCGGUCGGCUAAUCUCCCGGAAGGGAGGUGAUGCCUGUGGAGGUUUAUCAAGCGUUGUCCCUGAUGUUCAUGUUCGGCAUGUUCAUUCUGGCUCUGCUAACUUACCUCAAAAAGAAAUAGACCGCCCUUCUCAAGGGAAGCGGUCUAUUCUUUGACUGGUUUACCUGUUUAAAGCCUCCGCCCUUAAAAGCGGCUAUUGCGCAGAGAGUCGUGUUACCAGCAC